ensembl:rRNA 5S_rRNA 5S ribosomal RNA
GUCUAUGGCCAUGCCACCCUUAACAUGCCCAAUCUCGUCUGAUCUCGGAAACUAAGCAGGGUUGGGCCUGGUUAGUAUUCGGAUGGGAGACCACCUAGAAAGACCAUCUAGGAAGAUCGGGUGCUGUAGAUG